GACGAACGCUGGCGGCGUGCUUAACACAUGCAAGUCGAACGGAAAGGCCCUGCUUGCAGGGUACUCGAGUGGCGAACGGGUGAGUAACACGUGGGUGAUCUGCCCUGCACUUCGGGAUAAGCCUGGGAAACUGAGUCUAAUACCGGAUAGGAGCCAUUUUUAGUGUGAUGGUUGGAAAGUUUUUUCGGUGUAGGAUGAGCUCGCGGCCUAUCAGCUUGUUGGUGGGGUAAUGGCCUACCAAGGCGGCGACGGGUAGCCGGCCUGAGAGGGUGGACGGCCACAUUGGGACUGAGAUACGGCCCAGACUCCUACGGGAGGCAGCAGUGGGGAAUAUUGCACAAUGGGCGCAAGCCUGAUGCAGCGACGCCGCGUGGGGGAUGACGGCCUUCGGGUUGUAAACUCCUUUCGCUAGGGACGAAGCUUUUUGUGACGGUACCUAGAUAAGAAGCACCGGCUAACUACGUG
rnacentral:rRNA from 1 species